rnacentral:lncRNA from 1 species
CAUUGCUCCCUGACACACUGACAACUCAUUGCUCUCUUCAAUGGAAGUUUUGCUUUCACAUAUCACAGAAGAACAUACUUUGUCUGUCCAAUAAGCAGCAGAAACAAGACUUCACUGACAGAGGUGAAUUAACCCAGAAAUAAGACUAACUUCAGUCUCCCAACAAGUUUUCUGUAACUUGUUUCUUCUGUGUAGGGCAUAAAGCAUACAAUGAAGCAGCAGGUCCCUGUACUUGUGCAAGUGCAAUCCCAUCGCUGUGCGUGCAGCUUAGCACCUGGCUCUACACGGGACUCCAACAUGCCCAAUGCACUUUUGAUGGAUGGUCUGCAAGAAAUUUAAAGCAUGGAAGAACUGCACAGGACUGGUCCUUCAAUCCACUGGUGAUUCAGAAUUUAUUUGUGAGAUCUCUGUUCUCCUAAACAGUCUGCAUCUGCAUAUCCAAUAAUUCUGACAAAUAAAUACAAAAAUAAAUAGGGAUCUGGCCUCA